CCAGUGCUUGCCCUCUGAGAUUACUUUUAUUUGCACUCUCCAUGUUUUAUGUUUCAAUGUUGUUUUCCAUAUUUGAAUGGUCCUUGAGGACUAGGAUGAGUCAUAUUUUUUUUUUUGUCUUUGCUUGCAUGCUUGGCACUUAACAUCUUAUCUGGCACAUUGAACACAAUUUAAUAAAUGCUAGUUGAUUGACUAAGCAUUUUAAAAAGUUAGAAUGUUUUUCUGAAGAAUAUGGAAAUAGUUUUUGAGUGAUAAAACAUGUAUAACCCAGUGGAAUUGCUUGUCAACUGCAGGAAAGACGGAUGGAAGAGGAGAGGGAGAUAGCAUGAAUCAUGCAACCUUAGAAAAUGUAUGUGCAAAUUUAUUACUGGAAUAAAAUAAAGAAAAGAAUAAGGAUAAGAAUAUUUUUCUCAAAAUCCACUGAAUUGGUUAAUCUGUAUAUUUAUUAGUUACCAUUGUUAUUUUUAGUACUAGUGAUAUAAGAUUUACUAUAUACACAUAAACAUAAUGCCAUUUGACUCUCAUCACACCUCCCUCAAGUAAGUGUCACUGGUAUUGUGAUAUUCAGUUUACAGAUAAGGAAACUGAAUUAAGAUUUUAAAUCACUUAAUAAUGGUGACAGUCUAGUGAGUUUCUGAGAAAGGAUUCAAAUCUUAGUCUUUUCUAUCUUCAAAUCCAUUUCUUUUUACCUGUUUCUGUUUUAUUUUUUAAUGAGGAAGCUGAGAAAAUUAUAAAUAUUAACAUAUAUCUUCUAAGUAUUAGAUAAGGAAUGGAUUCUCUACUUUUAAGAUCAUAGUUCUUUCCUCAACAUUGUAUCGUCAAUGAUGUUACCCGUGAUUCAUUUAAAACAUUUUUAAAUAGUAUUUCACAAAUUGUGGCAAUAUCUUUAGGUUACUCUAGUGGUGGUAUAUUGCUUUGAAGGUAGAUGUGUGUGUGUGUGUGUGUGUGUGUGUGUGUGUGUGUGUGUGUGUGUGUGUGUGUGUGUUUUAGCUCCUCAACUUUUAAUUGCACUGGCUUGGCAAGGUCUCCAGGGAGAAAUUGACUAUUACUGCCUAGAAUUCUAUUCUAGUAACAGUGAAGGGCUGAGUCUUUCUACACCAUUCACCUUAUUUCCCAUUAAUAACUGUCCAGCCAAAUUUAGCUUUUAGGGGAAAAAUACCAAGAUAGAAUAGUAACAAUGGUUGGUACUACAUAAAAAAUUGAAGACAUUCUCUCACA
rnacentral:lncRNA from 1 species